UAGCUUAUGAAAAUAUGGCAC
rnacentral:piRNA from 1 species